AACGAACGCUGGCGGCGCGCCUAAUACAUGCAAGUCGAGCGAGAAGACGUAGCAAUACGUUUGUAAAGCGGCGAACGGGUGAGGAAUACAUGGGUAACCUACCCUCGAGUGGGGAAUAACUAGCCGAAAGGUUAGCUAAUACCGCGUACGCUCCUUGGACUUCGGUUCAGGGAGGAAAGCGAUACCGUGGGUAUCGCGCUCUUGGAUGGGCUCAUGUCCUAUCAGCUUGUUGGUGAGGUAACGGCUCACCAAGGCUUCGACGGGUAGCUGGUCUGAGAGGACGAUCAGCCACACUGGCACUGCGACACGGGCCAGACUCCUACGGGAGGCAGCAGUAAGGAAUAUUGCGCAAUGGGCGAAAGCCUGACGCAGCGACGCCGCGUGGGGGAUGAAGGUCUUCGGAUUGUAAACCCC
rnacentral:rRNA from 1 species